UGAAGUUAACCAUAAAGCCUCAGUUUGUCCCCACUUUAACAACGAAUGGGACAAAUGGGAUAAAUUUUCUGGAUCACCAGAGGAUGAUUAUUCAAGUGCUCACCUGGCCCCAAAGCAGCUCUCCAACACCAAUGAAAAUACACCAGAACCACUGACUCAAGGCCAGAGUCUGUCUAGCUGCACAGAGGCAGAAAGUCACGUAGGAGUUCAGGGGACAGCUUCAGUCCUCCAGAAAUGAACUGGAAGCUGCCAUCCUUCCAUGUACUAGCUACUGUCUUCCACUGAAGAGGAAAGGCUACUUACCUGGAACUACAGCUCUCUGAGGUUUUAUCAUGUCUUUCAUAUCUUCAUCCCCUUUCCCCUUCAUCCAUUUUGUUUACCUGAGAAACAAAGGUUCCUAGCACCACUGUGCAGAAGAUAGGGUUCCGGUAAAUGGCCUCGAAUACAUUCCUCUCACCAUGG